UAUUUCGUGCAUGGAAUAAUAGAAUAUGAUCUCGGUUCUAUUUUGUUGGUUUUCAGAACUCCGAGGUAAUGAUUAAUAGGGAUAACUGGGGGCAUUCGUAUUGCGACGUUAGAGGUGAAAUUCUUGGAUCGUCGCAAGACGAACAUCAGCGAAAGCAUUUGCCAAAGGUGUUUUCAUCAAUCAAGAACGAAAGUUAGAGGUUCGAAGGCGAUUAGAUACCGCCCUAGUUCUAACCGUAAAUAUGUCAUCUAGCGAUCCGCCGACGUUACUACAAUGGCUCGGCGGGCAGCUUCCGGGAAACC
rnacentral:rRNA from 1 species